rnacentral:rRNA from 1 species
GACGAACGCUGGCGGCGUGCCUAAUACAUGCAAGUCGAACGAAGCUGUUUUAACUGGUGCUUGCACCGACUUAAACAACUGAGUGGCGAACGGGUGAGUAACACGUGGGUAACCUGCCCCAAAGCGGGGGAUAACAUUUGGAAACAGAUGCUAAUACCGCAUAAUCACAGAAACCACAUGGUUUCUGUGUCAAAGAUGGUUUCGGCUAUCACUUUGGGAUGGACCCGCGGCGUAUUAGCUAGUUGGUAAGGUAAUGGCUUACCAAGGCAAUGAUACGUAGCCGAACUGAGAGGUUGAUCGGCCACAUUGGGACUGAGACACGGCCCAAACUCCUACGGGAGGCAGCAGUAGGGAAUCUUCCACAAUGGACGAAAGUCUGAUGGAGCAACGCCGCGUGAGUGAAGAAGGUUCUCGGAUCGUAAAACUCUGUUGUCAGAGAAGAACGUGCGCGAGAGUAACUGUUCGUGCAGUGACGGUAUCUGGCCAGAAAGCCACGGCUAACUACGUGCCAGCAGCCGCCGUAA